AUUAAUAAUUAUUUAAUAAGUAAUUAUAACAAGGGGUCUCUUGGACUGGAAAGAUAGUACAUGUUACCAGCUCUAAGGAUGAUGCAGAGAAACAACUUUGUGUUUUAACUAAGGAGGAAUCUGAUAUCAAAGAGAUAACGGAGGAGCUGUCCUCAGAGAUAACUGAGCCGUUGGUUCCUGAAGCAGAGGACCGAACCAAGGCUUUCAUUGAUUUACAGCAGGUUAAGAAAUAUAUUUAAUUUAGGGGGGGGGGGCCGGUUG